UCACAAAUAUACGAUCGCCUUUUCAGCUCAUAACCUAUCAAAUCUAUAUAACAUUGUGCAUCAAUCUUAAGAUGUCAGUUCAACCAAAUAGCUCUAGAAGGUCCUAGGAAUCUCAAGGUCUCCUUUAUUCGAACUAGAAAAGAUAGCCUCUGGGCUGUUAGUGCUUGCUUAGUAACCAUGAACCUCCCAACCUGAUGCAUCACCAAAUGUAGAUUCUGUUACAAAAUCAUGACCUUUAAGCUCCCAAACCUUGUCGCAAACAUACAAUCAAGGAAUCUGUACACGCACAUAAAGAAAAUGUAAGCACUAGCCAUUAGUGCUUCCAAGUCAUUUCAUCUUUAAACUCAUAAAGGAAAUGAAUGAUACAAAAAAAAGUCACCAGCCAAUGAAUCAGGUUGCAAUAUACCAAAAGGCAUCUACAAAUGCAACAAAAAGUGCAUCCCUUCCUCU
rnacentral:lncRNA from 1 species